CACUCCUGCGGGAGGCAGCAGUGGGGAAUAUUGGACCAUGGGCGCAAGCCUGAUCCAGCCAUGCCGCGUGAGUGAUGAAGGCCCUAGGGUUGUAAAGCUCUUUUGUGCGGGAAGAUAAUGACGGUACCGCAAGAAUAAGCCCCGGCUAACUUCGUGCCAGCAGCCGCGGUAAUACGAAGGGGGCUAGCGUUGCUCGGAAUCACUGGGCGUAAAGGGUGCGUAGGCGGGUCUUUAAGUCAGGGGUGAAAUCCUGGAGCUCAACUCCAGAACUGCCUUUGAUACUGAAGAUCUUGAGUUCGGGAGAGGUGAGUGGAACUGCGAGUGUAGAGGUGAAAUUCGUAGAUAUUCGCAAGAACACCAGUGGCGAAGGCGGCUCACUGGCCCGAUACUGACGCUGAGGCACGAAAGCGUGGGGAGCAAACAGGAUUAGAUACCCGUGUAGUCCCAUG
rnacentral:rRNA from 1 species